rnacentral:rRNA from 1 species
GAUGAACGCUGGCGGCGUGCCUAAUACAUGCAAGUCGAGCGAAUGGAUUGAGAGCUUGCUCUCAUGAAGUUAGCGGCGGACGGGUGAGUAACACGUGGGUAACCUGCCCAUAAGACUAGGAUAACUCCGGGAAACCGGGGCUAAUACCGGAUAACAUUUUGAACCGCAUGGUUCGAAAUUGAACGGCGGCUUCGGCUGACACUUAUGGAUGGACCCGCGUCGCAUUAGCUAGUUGGUGAGGUAACGGCUCACCAAGGCAACGAUGCGUAGCCGACCUGAGAGGGUGAUCGGCCACACUGGGACUGAGACACGGCCCAGACUCCUACGGGAGGCAGCAGUAGGGAAUCUUCCGCAAUGGACGAAAGUCUGACGGAGCAACGCCGCGUGAGUGAUGAAGGCUUUCGGGUCGUAAAACUCUGUUGUUAGGGAAGAACAAGUGCUAGUUGAAUAAGCUGGCACCUUGACGGUACCUAACCAGAAAGCCACGGCUAACUACGUGCCAGCCGCCGCGGUAAUAC